AUUUUUGGUAGAUCUAUCGGUAUUCUACCGCGCCUUUUCGCAGUACGCGUCAGGUGUGUUAGUACUGAUAAAACCCUAGUAUAAGUGGAGUAAUGUGAAUGGCCCGUAUUGCCGGUGUCAACAUUCCUGAU
rfam:marine gamma proteobacterium HTCC2207 scf_1099215844476 genomic scaffold, whole genome shotgun sequence.